rnacentral:rRNA from 1 species
GGGGAAUAUUGGACAAUGGGCGCAAGCCUGAUCCAGCCAUGCCGCGUGGGUGAAGAAGGCCUUCGGGUUGUAAAGCCCUUUUGUCCGGAAAGAAAAGCACUGGAUUAAUACUUCGGUGUUCUGACGGUACCGGAAGAAUAAGCACCGGCUAACUUCGUGCCAGCAGCCGCGGUAAUACGGAGGGUGCGAGCGUUGUUCGGAAUUAUUGGGCGUAAAGCGCACGUAGGCGGCUCUUUAAGUCUCAUUGUGAAAGCCCGCGGCUCAACCGCGGGAGGCCAAGGGAUACUGGAGGGCUGGAGACAGGUAGAGGCGAGCGGAAUCCCGGGUGUAGCGGUGGAAUGCGUAGAGAUCCGGAAGAACACCAGAGGCGAAGGCGGCUCGCUGGACCUUGUCUGACGCUGAGGUGCGAAAGCGUGGGGAGCGAA